CUGGGACCGAGGGUGAGGGGCUUGCUUGGUGGGCAGGUCCUUGGUAGAGGCUGAGGGUUGGGGCGGACCUAGGGGCCUAGUUAGGGGACUGGACGUGGGGAACGGGCAGAAUUUGGGUCGGAGUUGGACUGGAGCGGGAUUUGGACUAGGAGCUUCUCCCCACCGAGGGCCUGACAGCACAAUCAAAAUGAGAAAACUAACAUUUCCUGAGCCUCCCCUUGGGCUGGCCCUGGACUGAGUGCUGACUCUUGAAGGCUACCCACAGCCUUCAACACUGGACCUCAGCCGCCUCCUGUCAAAGCCCCUGCCCGUUCAUCUCUGAGUCCUCAGCGUGUGGCACAGGACAUGGCCCAGAGUAGCCCCGGUCGCCCACCACCAGCUGAUCUGCGUUGAUCUGGAACUUGUCCCCGUCUCGGAUCACCGUUGCUUGCUGUGGGGCAAGAGCACCAGAGGUCACCUGGGAGCAGCCGGAGCCUCUCCCCACCAGCACCCAGCUGCAGGAAACCCCAAGAGAGGAGGCAGGGCUGAAGUCACACUCACUGCCCUUACAAUGAGUCCACUCGUUCACUGGGGGCUUCUCUCUCUGAGUCACAUGUGUAAAACAGCUUGUGUUACUUCUCUGCUUACAACCCUCCAAGGGCUUCCCUUCUCACUCAGAAUAAACUCCAAAAUCAUUCCUGCAAGCUCUGGCCCCAGCUCACCUGCCCCAGCUGUCUCUACUGCCAAGCCAUUGGCACUGGCCUUGCUGUGCUUUGUACAGGCCAAGGUCAUUCCUGCCCCAGGGCCUUUGCACCUGCAGUUCCUGCUGCCUGGUACCCUCUUCCUUAGACGUCAGCAUGGCUUUUUCUCACCUCCAAGUCUCAGCUCAUAUGUCACCUCUUCAGAGAGUCCUCAGUUAUAAUACUGCAUCCCCAUCAGGCUCCAUCCCCUCACUCUGUUUACACACACCCUUUAUCCCAACCUGACACUGUAUCUCAUUUGUUUGGUGUCAAUCUUGUCCCAUGAGAGGGAAGACCGGGACUUGGUUGUGUUUGCUGCUGUAUACACAGCACCCAGAACAGUGCUCUCAGACACACAAUAGUUGCUCAAUAGUCACUGUUGGAUUGAAACAGGAUUUAUCUCUUCGAGUGGUUGGGAACAUUCACUAGCAAACUUGGAGCACCGGCCAGGCCCUCAGGAAGUCUCAGUCAUUGGGAACUCAUCUGGUGCCUCUCGCUGUGUCCAGGGCCUGGGGCAGAUAUGCAGUCAUCCCUGCACAGACUAGGGAAGCCCACAACCUAAGUCACAGAUGGAGAGACCGAGGCAACAUCACUGGAGGCAGAGGGCUGACCUGUGAUACUGUGUAGACCUCAGUCAAAACUCAGGGACUCUCCUUCUCUGGUCCCUGUCUCAUUUGUUUUUCUCAUUUCUUAGUUUUGUUAUGUUAAUUUUCAAUGCUUUAUAUUAAAUAUUUUAGACCUACAA